UGCCAGCAGCCGCGGUAAUACGAGGUGUGCAAGCGUUAAUCGGAAUUACUGGGCGUAAAGCGUACGCAGGCGGUCUUGUCCGUCAGGUGUGAAAGCUCGGGGCUCAACCCCGGAAGUGCACUUGAAACAGCAAGACUUGAAUACGGUAGAGGAGAGAGGAAUUCCUGGUGUAGAGGUGAAAUUCGUAGAUAUCAGGAGGAACACCGAUGGCGAAGGCAUCUCUCUGGGCCGAUAUUGACGCUGAGGCGCGAAGGCGUGGGUAGCGAACGGGAUUAGAUA
rnacentral:rRNA from 1 species